GUAAGUAGCCGACGCCGCGCUACCCUCCCGGCCGUGCCUCUCUCUUUCUGUUCUUCGUUUUCCUCCUCUUCCUCUCCGGGGACACUCUUCAAGCUCUCUUUUGGCUUUCUGCUGUCUCUAAGCCGGAAGUAGGGAUCGCCUGAAGUGGAAAUGCCUGUAAUUGGCAGAUACAGUGUCGGCAGGUGCCUGUGAUUGGUGGGUGUCUGACUGGGGGUGGGGGCUGAAGUUGGCCCGCCCUCUGGUACCUGCUCUGGCUAUUUCACCGGAAGCUCUUCACAUGGAGGUGUAAUGUACAGUGGAGUCUGCGGCUGCUCAGCCUAGAGAGGCCUGGAAUGACCCUGCUUUUGAGCGUGCUAGAGGUGACGAAACUCUCUUGCUCGCAGGAAGCUCCCAGUUACGGAGCAAGUUUCAGGCUGGACUCUGAAAUGAGGGCUUUGUGGGAGUGUUUUCGUUGUACCUGUGACAGCUCCACAAAUGGGUACCCCCAUUUUGUGGUUGAGUCUGCGGAGCCUGAAGGGGUGGAGGAAGGGUGCGCGUGGGUCAAACCUGCUUUGGCCAGAGCCCUGGCACGGUGGUCGUAGACUUAUGUGACUGUUGAGCCCUUGAAGUGGAGCAGAGGCCGCGGUUGUGGAGUUACUGUGGUUUACCUGAGCGUGGUGUCUUCCUGGGGUCUGUGGGCUGCUGCUGCCUGGCGGGUACAAGGUACUCACUUGGUGUUAGUGGACCGAGCACCGCUCAUGUCUGCAGUGGACAGUGGCUCACCAGGACCAAUGAGCUAACAGGUGAGCCAAGCAGUGUGACUUAUAGCACACAAAAUCACUAUAGCCUCAGUGCCCCUCUGAUCUGGAUGGGUAUGUUCUGACAGCACUGCCCAGGUCCCUGGCUAUGUGCUGGAACAAGGAGAGGGGACAGGGACAGACUUGUUGCUUUCAAGGCAAAGAGGAUUUCCUUUGUUGGAAUAAUGAGGGUUGAUGGGGAGGACUUCUCCUUGGCUGCAUGCUGGAAGACCACUGCACUCCUCUGCUUACAGAUGGACAGGGGUAGGGUGGAGAUGAGUUUGGGACCUAAGGUCUUUCGGGUGCCUCAGCCAGUUUCGUCCUCUGCAGCAGGGAUGUGGUGCUCUUGAGAAUUUGAGGAAAUGUUCCAGUUGUCCAGCCAGGUAUGGCGGUGCAUGCCUGUAAUCCCAGCACUCGGGUUGCUGAAGCAGGAGGAUCACCAUGAAUUCGAGGUUAGCCUGGGUGAGUUCAAGGCCAGCCUGAGCUACAUAGUGGGACUGUCUCAGAAAAGAGAAAAAAGUUCCAGUUGUUCAUCUAACUUCACUAGACCUUUGUCUAAAUUUCACUGGCCAGGGGAGAGAAAUGGGCUAACAUUUGAACAAGGAAGUCAUCAGGCCUGUUUCCACCUCUGGUGGCUAUGAAAAGGACCUGGUUGUGAGAAGAGUCUCUCGCUCUCCUCCCUUCCUUUCUUUGUGCUGGGGAUUGAUUGAACCCAGGUGUAUUCUACCACUGAGCUGCAUACAUCUUCAGCCCUUUUAAAUUUUUUUAACUUGAGACAGUCUCACUAAGUUGCCCAGCGGGACUUGAACUUGUGAUCUUCCUGCCUCAGCCUUCCAAAGUGCUGGGAUCACAGAUGUACACCACCACAUCUGCUUUCCUUUCCUUUUUCCGGUUUGCUUUUAUGUAGUUCUGGGUGAGCGGGCAGGGUGGUUGUGGAGACGCUGUGCUGGCAGGAGGAGGAAGAAAGAGCGGUGCCUCCUCCUUCUCCAGCUUGGAUUGUAGGUAUGGGUGGUGUGCCUGGUGGUUCUUGUGGGAAGCCAAGUUGAUUGUUGCUGUCUCUGGCCUGGAAUGUGGUCUCCGAAGGAACAAGCUGGAGGAUGUGACAAGAAGAGCUGAGUCUGCGGCAAGGGUUAGAGGCUUGGUAAGAGCUGCCCUUGCCCUACCUUAGGUUGGCUAGGCUGUCCUGAACUUGGG
ensembl:lncRNA